GGCGCAUUCGUCUAGGGGCCUAGGACGCCGCCCUCUCACGGCGGUAGCACGGGUUCGAAUCCCGUAUGCGCUA
rnacentral:tRNA from 2 species